rfam:Klebsiella sp. RIT-PI-d NODE_1_length_2264346_cov_38.3847_ID_1, whole genome shotgun sequence.
ACUAAUUAAAAAGAACCAGGGGCAGGAUUGCCUGCCCUCUCGAUUGCUGAACAGCAUGGACAGACUAUACGUCGGGGGGUCGUUCCCCACCUGACGCGAAAACCGCAGUACGCUGUUCACCGAUCUUCGAGGGUAGCGCUGCUACCCUUUUUUUCUGGAGUA